UAGGUAAAUGGCUUUUCCAGCCAUUUUUGAUUUUUUUUUUCUUGAAUCAUCACCUUAUUUGAUUAUCUCUACAUUUUAAAAAGAUCCCCAGAGCUGCCCUUGAGGUUAAGCACAUUGUUUACACCACUGGGCCAGUUGACAGGUGCCCUGUCUUAAGGGGAGGCGAGGAGGGGGUUGGGAACAAGGAGAAAAAGCUACAAGCUGUAGCCUCUGACCCAAGGCAACAUGGCUUUUCAACCCUGGGGAGACUCCCUCAGUGACUGAUUAAGGGCUAUGUUAGAAAUGUUCAGAGAACAGAGGAAGAAUUCAGUCCAGUUUAGUCUCUCCCCACUGAGCCAGAAGGGUCUCCAGUGCCUCUCCCUCCCACAAGCCAAGUCUCACCUUACAUGCCCUGUUUCUUCUCAUGUUAGAUGCAGCUUGCCUGCAGAUGCCUGAAGAACCACCCUCAGUGGGCAUUGCAGGACUCUCACCAUGCCUCCGUCAGCUGGAACCACAUCACAGCUUGGAUGUUAUGGGAAAAGCAACCGCAUUCAUUGAGGUCCACCUCACAGCCCUCAGAUGACAGAAGCAGCAGUUCCGAGGCACCGCCUCCUGUUCACCAGGAAUCAAUUCCAAGCCCAGCAACAAUGUCCUGCAGGCAAUUCUGCAUACCUGCAGUGGCUGGAGUAAUAGACAACCCGCUGUCCAUGAAGAGGGUCCAGAAGACAGCCCCACGACUGAGGCAACAAGGAACACACUAGCGAGAGAGGCAGUGGAAGAGGCAGCAACGAAAAGUCAAGGCACUGUCCUCCGUAGGCCUAACUGAACCCCUGGCUCAUCUGGCUCCAGCGCAGACCUCGGCAGGGGACCCUGGAGCUGGUCAGUGGACAGUCCCUCUGAGUGACAUGUCUCACCUCAGGCACAUGCCUGGCCAUCUCUCUGCUUUCUGCCUUGGGACUUUCUCCAAAGUCUGCUUGGUCCACAUGGACGUGAUGUAGAAGUGUGGGAGUGUUAACGCCUUAGGGGAGGAACUUUGGAGAAUGAGGAACACGCAGUGAGUGAAUGACCCCUGCCCCCCGCCACACUGUCCUUCAGUGGGACAAUCCUGGGACACACUGGCCACAGUUCCUCUGAGGACCUGUGAUGAGACAAGUCCCUGAUGUCCACAGCGGUAAAAACUCUCCCUGUAUUGACCUCAAAUACAGGCUGCUCUAAUGUCAAAAAGUCACCGUGUAUUAUUCUUUCUCGUAUUCUGUCUCCUUCUCUCAGCAGCCACACUACUGCUCCUUGGGGCCACCUCCCAAUUCAACUCGACACCCCAGCCUGUGUCUCAUGCUUUGUUUUCCGGGGAGCCCUAUCUAAGGUUCUUCUUCUGUGCUUAAACUUGGGAACCAGUUAGCAUAUUAUUAUUAUGUUGAAACAUCCUCAUUUGGAAAACAUAUCCCAGCUUAGCAUUAACUGAUUAUUGGUGAUACUGCCAAUCUAAGAGCUACAUUUCACUUUCUCCACUCCAAGUUCAUUUAGGGGAGAAGCAGUGUUUUUCCCAUACCCCUCACGCUGUCCUUGAUGGCAAAGCCAGGUAAAGCUCACAAUACAUUAUGUGUGAGCAAAGAGGCAGAACUACUGUAUUUUAUAAAGAGCAGUUAUUAUUAAAAGCAAUAAGUGAGCCUAAUUAGGUCCAGCACAUCUGAAAGUAAUUGCAUUGCCUCCUGUAAGCAUUUUAGUGUGUCCAAGUGCUUAGCCUUAAUUCUCCACACUAACUCUCACUGAUUGUUUGCUCUGCCAUUUGCUAAGACCUGCCUUUCCUAAGUUAUCAUCGCUAUUUAUUCUGAAUCUGUAUUUUCAAUCUGUAAAACAUUAGAUGGCUCUGCUUCCACCUUUAUCAGGAAAAAGAAUCUUUCCUGAUUUAGAUCCCAGAUCUUGAAAUGUUCUCUCUCUGGCAGACCCCAAGCCUCACCACUGCAAUUUGAAAAGCUUCCAGAAUCCCAUUUCCUUCACAGAUUUCCCUCUGAGGAACAUAAUAUUGCACUGGCUCCAGCCUCUGGAAACCUGGAAUUACCCAGAACCUCUCUUUCCUGAACUCCCCAAGCGGCCCUCAGCACCUGGCAGGCACUGAGACCCAGAUGGGUUGUUAGAUGCUCCUUUGUCUUCAGUGUCAUGGUUUUUAAACUAGAAAUUCCUUGACAUCAAGAAUAACAUUUUUGUAACUCAGUUCCUAGUACAAGGUCAUGAACCGUGAAACACAAUACAGUCUUUUUUUAAUGAAGGUAGAGUCAAGGGUAAGUUCAGGGAACACAAAAGAAAAAAUUAAUAUCUAGCAAGUGAACAACAUUUUGAUCGGGUUAAUAUUAGAAGGCUCAGUGAGUUGGUUCACAGAGCUAUAAUAUAGUUCUUAAUACUUAGAAGCCUAAAGUAAUUUAAAAACAGACAGAAAUAAGUUGUAUGUGCUGGAGAGAACGGCGUCACAGAGCCAACACAUUCCUAUAUAAUUCUGAGUGUUCUCUAUGGUAUAAAGACAAUAUAGUAACAGCCUGGAUGCAUCAUUAUCAUUGUGUACGUUUGUGUCUUACAGCCCUAAAGGGUAUAAGGAAAAUUAUAGAACCAGAGAGGAGCUAAGUCCACUAAUCGAAUAUUUAAGAAAUAUUAAGUAUGGAUGGAAAGAUGGGAUUAUCUCAUUCAACUCCCUGAUUUUAUACGUUGGUAUUGUCAGAAGGAUACAGGCCCAGCAAUGAGCCUUUGGUAUCCUUCUAACAUGAAUGCGGGAAGAAAGCUUGUUGAUUCUCCUCAUCUGCAGGUUUAUCAGGAAGCCAGGAAAGGCUUUUAGGGAUCUAUAUAGAAAGGAAAAAAAAAAACACCAAACUGUAAACUAAAGCUUUAUGAACACAUACAUUCAUCAUAGGCUGUUUAUAAUAGCUGGGAAAUUAGAAAUUACCUGAAUUCGAAUAGUAAGGUAAGAGUGAAGUAAAUCAUAAGAUAAUGUACAAUGGAAUAUUGUGUAGAUAUUAAAAGUGUUUCAUAAAAAAAUUAAUACCAUGGGAAAGAGCAGGAUACUAAAUUUAUAUAGAGAGUAUUAUCUCACCUGUGUAGAUAUCAAUGCCUGGAUAGAAAAAAAUACAGACAAAAGCAUCCAAAAUGGUAACUCUGGAUAGCGUGUAUCUUUGGAUGCUGGGAUGCUGGUGAUUUUAAUUUUUUAAAAUAAUGUUCUGUACUUUUCAUAAUGAUUUUCUAACGGGAAAAAUUUUUUAAGCAGGAACACGUAAAAUUAUUUAAAAUAUAUUAGUUAAUAUAAACUAUAAAUUUUUACAUGAAAGAUAGUUUUCAAUAUCUCUGCAUCAAUCUUUUAAAAAAUUUCUUAUUGGAGUAUAGUUGCUUUACAAUAUUGUGGUAGUUUCUGCUGUAGCAAAGUGGAUCAGCUGUAUGUAUAUACAUAACCCCUCUUUUUUAGAUUUCCUUCCCAUUUAGGUCACCACAGAGCACUGAGUAGAAUUCCCUGUGCUAUACACUAGGUCUUCAUUAGUUAUAUAUUCUGUAUCAGUCUUCGAAUAAGAGAGGGUACAUGUAGGGAGAAGCAAGACUUUUUCUCAUAGUAUCAUGCUGCUGUGGGUAGUUCUGACAUGCAAAAUACAAAGAGAAGUAACAUCACAAAAUUUUACAGUGAAUUUGUGACUCCGAUAAGAAAACUAUUAAAGUUCUAGAUUUGGGUGUUUUGUUUUGUUACUCUAGGCACAGCUUCAGGUUUUCUUGAUUUUGUUUUGGGUGAUAGUGUAAAAUCAAGGUCAUUGUGAGUUCAAGUCCUCCAAGAAGUAGAUGUCAAGAUGGGGUAAGAUGAGGUACAAGAGAGGUGCAAGAGAGGGUAACAGCUGUAAGCACAAAUGGAGAGAGAGCAGGAGAAGGGAGAGAGAGCUUUCAGAUGGAAGCAAAGUCUGACUCUCGUGGAAAGAGAAUGGGUAGGAAGGUUGGGUGGUAAAAGUCUCAGACUGGGUGUGGCUCCCAAAGAGGUUCAGCCAAGCCAAUGGGAAGUUCUCAAACUAAGUUAGCCAUUGAAGUUGUCUUUGGAUGAAGCACAAGCUGGACUCAAGAUUGCCGGAAGAAAUAUUAAUAAACUCAGAU
ensembl:lncRNA